AUAAUCCUACGGGGGGCAGCAGUAGGGAAUUUUCGGCAAUGGGGGGAACCCUGAUGCAGCGACGCCGCGUGGGUGAAGAAGUAUUUCGGUAUGUAAAGCCCUAUCGGCAGGGAAGAAAUUGGACGGUACCUGACUAAGAAGCCCUGGCUAACUACGUGCCAGCAGCCGCGGUAAUACGUAGGGGGCAAGCGUUAUCCGGAUUCACUGGGUGUAAAGGGAGCGUAGACGGCCAUGCAAGCCUGGAGUGAAAGCCCGGGGCCCAACCCCGGGACUGCUCUGGGAACUGUGCGGCUGGAGUGCGGGAG
rnacentral:rRNA from 1 species